rnacentral:ribozyme from 12 species
UAUCUUGUAUCGAUUCAUUUUUUGUUUGUUUGUUUUCUUUUUCUUUCUUUUUUCUCUUGCUCGUGUGCUUUGAACUUCUGCAGGUAUUUUAACCUGACCCAACAAUCAGUAUACGAGAAACUAAAAGCUAAAAGUCAUGGAACAAUGAUUUUAUGACAUUCUCAUUUAGGUUUGUUCUUUAUCAUCAUGAUUAA